rnacentral:rRNA from 1 species
GACGAACGCUGGCGGCGUGCUUAACACAUGCAAGUCGAACGGAAAGGCCCUGCUUUUGUGGGGUGCUCGAGUGGCGAACGGGUGAGUAACACGUGAGUAACCUGCCCUUGACUUUGGGAUAACUUCAGGAAACUGGGGCUAAUACCGGAUAGGAGCUCCUGCUGCAUGGUGGGGGUUGGAAAGUUUCGGCGGUUGGGGAUGGACUCGCGGCUUAUCAGCUUGUUGGUGGGGUAGUGGCUUACCAAGGCUUUGACGGGUAGCCGGCCUGAGAGGGUGACCGGCCACAUUGGGACUGAGAUACGGCCCAGACUCCUACGGGAGGCAGCAGUGGGGAAUAUUGCACAAUGGGCGGAAGCCUGAUGCAGCAACGCCGCGUGCGGGAUGACGGCCUUCGGGUUGUAAACCGCUUUCGCCUGUGACGAAGCGUGAGUGACGGUAAUGGGUAAAGAAGCACCGGCUAACUACGUGCCAGCAGCCGCGGUGAUACGUAGGGUGCGAGCGUUGUCCGGAUUUAUUGGGCGUAAAGGGCUCGUAGGUGGUUGAUCGCGUCGGAAGUGUAAUCUUGGGGCUUAACCCUGAGCGUGCUUUCGAUACGGGUUGACUUGAGGAAGGUAGGGGAGAAUGGAAUUCCUGGUGGAGCGGUGGAAUGCGCAGAUAUCAGGAGGAACACCAGUGGCGAAGGCGGUUCUCUGGGCCUUUCCUGACGCUGAGGAGCGAAAGCGUGGGGAGCGAACAGGCUUAGAUACCCUGGUAGUCCACGCUGUAAACGGUGGGUACUAGGUGUGGGGUCCAUUCCACGGGUUCCGUGCCGUAGCUAACGCUUUAAGUACCCCGCCUGGGGAGUACGGCCGCAAGGCUAAAACUCAAAGGAAUUGACGGGGCCCCGCACAAGCGGCGGAGCAUGCGGAUUAAUUCGAUGCAACGCGUAGAACCUUACCUGGGUUUGACAUGGAUCGGGAGUGCCCAGAGAUGGGUGUGCCUCUUUUGGGGUCGGUUCACAGGUGGUGCAUGGCUGUCGUCAGCUCGUGUCGUGAGAUGUUGGGUUGAGUCCCGCAACGAGCGCAACCCUUGUUCACUGUUGCCAGCACGUUAUGGUGGGGACUCAGUGGAGACCGCCGGGGUCAACUCGGAGGAAGGUGGGGAUGACGUCAAGUCAUCAUGCCCCUUAUGUCCAGGGCUUCACGCAUGCUACAAUGGCUGGUACAGAGAGUGGCGAGCCUGUGAGGGUGAGCGAAUCUCGGAAAGCCGGUCUCAGUUCGGAUUGGGGUCUGCAACUCGACCUCAUGAAGUCGGAGUCGCUAGUAAUCGCAGAUCAGCAACGCUGCGGUGAAUACGUUCCCGGG